AUAAACUGAUGAUCUAUGUGUUUUCAUUGACCAAUGGGUAACUGCUGGAGCUACAGUAAUCUCUGUGGCCAUGGAGGUAGCACUCUCCUCCCAAACAACGUCACCAAUGAAUUCCUGGAAUAUGGGGCUGUGGAAGAAGGUGCCAAACCAUUGGAAAUGUUAUCUGAGAUUCAUGAAGAGCCGUUAAAGUGCAUUUCAGAUGGGCAGCCAAGUGGCCAGUUGCCUCAUGAGAAUGGCAGAGCUGGUAAUGGAAUAGAAUCAUUUUGUCAGGGGUUACAAAUGCUCCCUAAAGAGUCAGAAGAGUCAGAAUUGGUUGGCAGGGUGAGUGAGAUUGCAAGAACUUCUCAAGAUUUAGAAUGUGAAAAGGCACCAGACAGGGAAAAUGAUGCUUUCGUUUCAGAAAUGCAAAUGGAAAAAGAGAGGAGGGCUGGCAGAGCUACUGAGGAGGCAGCCAGAGAGAAAGUUCUUGCAGGCCAAGAAAAAUCUACAGAAAUUCCUCUUCCAUCUGAAGCAACAGCGGAGAGAAAAUUGUAUUGGAUCACAGAAGAUGACUCCAUGGUCUUAACUGUGGAAAUACAGCCCGAGACCUCACAAACGGCUGCUGGUGGAGCUGAGGAAGUCCACAAAAUGUGUGGAACAAAUUGUCAUAUACCUUUGGCAGGACCAGAGGACAAAGGGGUGAGCACUGCUGGGGUUCUUGGUGGUGCCUGGGCAGAUUUUGAGCGGGAGUUUUCUGUGUUUGAUUUGGAAAAAGCAGAAAGAGCACCUGAGAGGAGGAUAUCGAAAGAGACAGCUGUGAGCAAACAUGUGGAAUUUCAAGGGGUGGAAAUCCUUUGGAUCCAAAAAGCAGAGGAGCAGAAGGAAAUGGGAUGCUCUGACUUUGAGGGUGUUGAAAGGAGAAGAUUCUCAAAUACAUCCAACCACCACACUCCAUCGGCAGCAUCAUCAGAGUUAUGUGGUUUGCCUGAGCGUUCUUGGAAUGUAUCUUGGGAAAACAUCAGGCCUUUGGCUGAAGGUGGAGAGGACGAAGUCUUCAUAAGGGAAGAAAAGAAAAAUGGGGCUCAGGAGAGGAAAUCUAUGUCAGACAACGCCAGGCUAAUGGAGGAGGAGGAGGAGGAGGAAGAAGAAGAAGCCCUCAGUGGAAGAAUGGAAGAUGUCCUUGGGCAACCGCACUCUGAAGUCUCAACAGAUGUGUACAGCUCCCAGUUUGAAAGCAUUCUAGACAAUGCCUCCUUAUAUUAUAGUGCUGAGUCACUGGAAACUUUAUAUUCUGAGCCAGAUAGCUACUUCAGCUUCGAAAUGCCACUUACUCCAAUGAUCCAGCAGCGUAUCAAGGAAGAUGCUCAGUUUUUAGAAAGAACUCCCGAUGGGGCGAUAAAGAAGGGCCAUGGUGAUGGGAUUUCCAAUGGACUGGGAGAUGUGAAGGAGUCGGAUGUCACAGAAGCUUGUCAUUUGGAAAGCAAUGCAAGGCUGGAAUGUACAACGCCAGUAGAUGCUGUAGGAGACAUGGGAAACAAUGAUUUUCUGGAAAAAGAAGGGCACGAAAACUUGAGCCAUGACUUCAUCAAUGGCACCACCAGUGGCAACAGGGAAGCAGCCCGGAGGCUGGCAAAGCGCCUCUAUCAUCUAGAUAGAUUCAAGCGGUCUGAUGUAGCAAAGCACUUGGGAAAAAACAAUGAGUUCAGCAAACUUGUCGCUGAGGAAUACCUCAAGUUCUUUGAUUUCACAGGCAUGUCUUUGGAUCAUUCCCUCAGGACAUUCUUUAAAGCAUUUUCUCUAAUUGGAGAAACUCAGGAAAGAGAGCGCGUUUUAGUUCAUUUCUCCAACAGAUACUAUCAGUGCAACCCAAAUGCCAUUUCCACACAAGAUGGAGUCCAUUGCCUCACAUGUGCAAUUAUGUUGCUGAACACUGACCUCCAUGGCCAUAAUAUUGGCAAAAGGAUGUCCUGUCAAGAAUUCAUUGCCAACCUUCAGGGAAUGAAUGAAGGCAAAGAUUUCCCAAGGGAACUCUUGAAGGCCCUCUACAAUUCAAUCAAAAACGAGAAACUUGAGUGGGCAGCAGAUAAUGAAGAGAAGAAAAAAUCCCCCUCAGAUGGUACCGACGAGAAGGAUAAUGGAACCCAAUCCAAGGGUGUCAGUCGCAUUGGCAAUUCCAAUAAUCCUUUCCUGGACAUUCCUCACGACCCCAGUGCUGCUGUGUACAAAACAGGAUUCCUGGCACGUAAAAUCCAUGCUGAUAUGGAUGGAAAGAAGACUCCACGAGGGAAGAGAGGAUGGAAAGCUUUUUAUGCUGUUCUUAAAGGAACUGUGCUUUAUUUGCAAAAGGAUGAAUACAAACCAGAUAAGGCUUUAUCAGAGGAAGAUCUUAAAAAUGCAGUCAGUGUGCACCACGCGUUAGCAUCGAAGGCAACAGACUAUGAGAAGAAGCCAAACGUUCUGAAGCUCAAGACAGCUGAUUGGAGAGUCCUGCUUUUCCAAGCUCAGAGUCCAGAAGAAAUGGAGUCUUGGAUCAAUAAGAUCAAUUCUGUAGCAGCUGUUUUUUCUGCCCCACCAUUCCCAGCUGCCAUUGGAUCCCAGAAGAAAUUCAGCCGCCCUCUGUUGCCUGCCACCACAACCAAAUUGUCUCAGGAUGAGCAACUAAAAUCACAUGAAAGUAAACUGAAACAAAUCUCCACUGAACUAGCUGAGCAUCGCUCCUACCCACCGGAUAAGAAACUUAAAGGCAAGGAAGUGGAGGAUUACAAACUGAAAGAUCAUUAUCUGGAAUUUGAGAAAACUCGGUAUGAAACCUAUGUGUCUCUUCUUACAGAGGGAGCAGGCAAAGAGUUGCUGAGCACCAGUGAGAACGAUGGCCCAGGACUGAAGAAAUGCCAUUCAAGCCCCUCCUUAAAUCAGGAGUCCCCUCUUAGUGCCAAGGUGAAGCGUAACAUCUCAGAGAGGAAAGACUAUAGACCUGAAACACCGAGCAUCAAGCAGAAGGUUACUUAGGGCAACUGAGGCAAACUGAGGAACAACAUAUCACUCGCUCUUUAAUAACCUGUCCUUUGCAAAAAGAAAACAAACAAAAAUUAACACAUCUGCCUGAAUGGGGUGUUAGUGACAUUUUCAAUUGUAAAUUUUGUUGUUUCUGUACAGGUUGUUGGAGAUGUUUUGGCUUCUGACUUGCAUUUGUCCAGUUAAUUUAUCAUAGAGCAAUUGUUCCAAUUCUUUAAAAUAAUAUAAGAAAAAAAGGGAAGGAAAACUAGGUGUGGGAAGGGAGAGAUUUGAUGAUUUAAUGAUUAUCUCCCUCAUCUUUUUAUCUUCUUUCAUUGGCUUGUAAUUUUCAUCUCUCAAGUCAUCUGCUGCUUUUCUACAGCAAAUAACUGGACAAACAGAAGCUUACUGAGUUGUUUAGCUGUGUGAAUGGAUUCUUGCAUUUGCCAAGGUGGCGUUGACUCACUAUUAAGAGAGACUCGUAAAACUGCUCAACCUCGGGGAAAAUACGUUUCUAAGUGCUGCAGAGCUCUGUAACUAACGUGUGAUGGGAGCCAUAGCAGUAGCUAGACUGUUGAACGAGCAGUUUUUGUGAUCUCUGAGCCCACACUCUGUAGGAGGCUGAAAAGUGAAGGCUGGCCAUAAAGAACAGAAGUGAACUAACAAAACUAGCAUUUUAGAUUUGGAAACCAGGGAAGGCCUUGGGUGAACAGAAAUGGCGGAAACCAAAACUGGUCUUACUUUUCCAUUUUGUUGAAUGACCAUGGGCCUCUCUGUUUUAUCAGCAAGUUGUGCUACCUGUACAGUUUUCAACAGUAUAUUACUCAUACAUUUGAUGUACAGACAGCUGUAAUGUGUAUUUAUUUUCCAUUGGCAUUAUGAUUCUCCUCUGGAAGUAUGUUCAGGCACUUUAUAAUCUAUUUGAUUGCAACUAAGAAUUUCCCCCUCAAAGCUGGAAAGUCUGAAAGGACAGCAUGUUACCCAGUUCCUUUUGUAAAUAAUGUCAAGGAGGCCUAGAUAUAUGGUAUUUAUAAUGAUAGAUUCUUUCUUCCUACAUAUAAAAUCCUGGCUCCAUUCCAAACACCCUGUGCCAGCCAGCAGAUUCCCCCAGCUAAAAAAAAUCAUCCACCAUAGACAAUGCCUCCUCCCACAUUCUAUUUCCAGUUAUCGCAAAAUGUAUGUGGGCUAAGAACAAGGAGAAUGACUGUAUGUUUUUCAUGCUGGCCUCAGUUUCCUAGCUUAGGGCAGCAUUAUGUUUGAACCAUGACAAAGAUGUAGACAUCCUGGAGUUCUUACUCUUCCCCUGCCUUACCCCAAGCAAACAAAAGCAAAGGAAAACAACUAGAAUAAUGUGGAAUUAAGUUAUAAUUGAGGUCCACGGAGAAGAAAUCCUAGGAAUCAGAAUACUUAAAAAUGGUUGCCCUAUUGGCCCCCCAGAAGAGGCAGCUCAAAGAUCAGGACACACUUUAAUCCUUUAUUCUAUGGGUAAGGAGCCUGUGGCCCUCCUGCUGUUGUUGGACUACAUCUCCUAAUCUCUGACAGUUGGCGAUGCUUUCUGAGUCUGAUGGGAGUCCAACAGCAUGUAGAGGGCCACAGCUUCCCUAUCCCUGCUGAAUACCAUUGAUCUGGUGGCAGGGGCCUAUGUGUUUCUUGGGCAGAGAUUGGGUACAGGGUGAAUUGCCACAUUCCCAGGAACAGGGCCGGCACCAAAGGGUGGCCAGAUUGGGCCUUGACAGAGGGCCCCUGAAGGGCUCCUCCUUAGGGUGGGAGGGUAGUGCUCCCUUUCCAUGAUCUGCAGCAGUAUCGGCUCCCAACCCUUCUGUGGAUCGUGGAGAGGGAGCUUCUAGGCACCCCUCAGAUACAGUCAGUUCAGGUUUCAAUAAGCCCACAUGCAUGCCCCACCUACCUUUCCCAUCCCUGUGAAUGAUGGCCUGCCAUCAACCAAGAUGGUGGUGGAAGCUUCCCUAAGGGGCUGAUGACCCUGCCGCCAUCUUGGUUAAUGUGCAGCGUGCACGUCAUUCACAGAGAAUGGGAGAGGUAGAUGGGAUGCAUGGGUGGACCAAUUAGCCCUGUGCUGCCUGUAUGGAAGGGUUGGGCUAUGGUGCCGUAGGCCUGAGGCAGGCUGGUGCUGGCCCUGCCCAGGAAGCCAUCUGCUUUAGAGAUGAGCAAACAAGGCUAUAGUGACACUCUUUAGAACUCUGAGUACUAAAUCACAAGCUACCAUUUGCCAGGACACAUUUUAGAAGUAUUGUUCUAUCCCUGCAUUGCUAUGGUGAGAGUCGUGUAUCCCUGGCAUUAGCAAUUAAAGUGGCAACCAAUUCAGAUUAAUACUAGGAGUGAAAAGGAUUGUAUUAGGACUGGAAUCCCUUGCUGCCUGCACCUUCCUUGGGAAACCCACCUUAAACUCAAGAACCAUCUGUGCAUCAUCAUGAAGGGUAUGCACUCUUUAAUGUAGACGGGUUGAUAGUUACUGUGAGAAUGAAUGAGCCAAGAAGAGUUGCAUUUGUGAGGCAGUGGCUUGCGCAUUCUUCUGCAGUGGCUCAUUUUUCAUCGGUGGUUCAGAAAAGUCAGCAGGCUGUCCAGUUAUAAUGAGAAGAGAGAAACAGCAAUAAAGUGACAGGACUAGCAUUGUCUUAAAAGAAGGAGUGACCUUGCCUUCAGUGCUGUGUGUGUGUUUGUGUCUCAUCUCUGGUGGAGAACAGAGAAAAAGUGAAUGUGACAUAAAAAACAGAAUGGGAGAAAACUCCACGAUUUGUAAGAUUGCAGAGGGAUAGAGGUGAGAAAUCCAUCAAAUAAAAAAGAGAAAUUGCAGUUACAGAUAUGUACGAAGCAAUAAUACUGUAUCAUGAUUCUGUAUGGCAUUUUUCAUAGAUGGAACAAAUUGAAUUAUUCAAGAGCCUUCUGUGUUGCUUGGCUGUUGGCCUCUAUGGCUGUUUGCUGAGUAUUACUGAGGUAGUGUUUGCAAACUCCAGAAUAGCAGUUUUUCUUGGAACGACUGUGAUGUAGGUUCUUUGACAUAGCAUGCAUCCUAAAGAAUGCAAUAGGAAUUACCAGGUGGUACUCUCUUUCUUCCACUGAAAAUGCAGAGUGACAGAGUAUAUUCCUUCACCCAGCUGAACCACUGCACCCUGAUGAUAAAAUGAAUGGUAGGGACUCUUUUUGUUCUCUUCCCUUAGAGGUUAAUGAGCUUUGCAUCAGCUAAGAUUUGAGUAGAGAGGAUUCACAAUGAAGUCAUGCAGCAGCUGUGUGGCCCAAUUGUGAAUUCUUUGAAGGAGAGAACUGUGUGUGAGAGAGAGGGUGAGGGGCUAGGGAUCAGACACAGUAUAAUACACUUUACUUGUGUUGGUCACAUGUAUACUUUAGGGUGCCCAGAUGCAAAGGAGAGCUGGGCUGUUGUACCAUUUUAACAGUUCUGUAGGCUUUUUCAACUGGUGCUGCUUGUCAUGCAAGACUGAGAAAAGUUGCUCUUGCUGACAUAAGGCUCCCUCUUCUGCAAACUGUUUAAAGCCACAGAAGUGCGGCUUCCUUUUGCGUUUUCCUUCAUCUGCUCUGUACACCUCUUUGGGCCAGACUGCAGUGUCUCAGGGGCUCGUCUGGGAGGUGGGUGAUGAGGAUGUAGCGUUGUACUUGAUGCCUCUUUCUAGCUGUGGAUGGCAAUGUAUUUUAAACAGGGGUGGAUUUGUAUCCUGGGGGAUGGGUUUUUUAAAACAGCAGUUUGUGGGCUAGAAAUGUGUUUUGUGCAAACCUGACCCCUUCACUAAUGGUUAGGUUCUAUAAUCCGCACCAGCUAGCUAUAAGGCUUUCUGAUUCCUAAAUGCAUGAGUUUGAGUAUGAUUGGGUUGUUGCCUGUAAAACCCAAAGAGAAGGAAAGAACUUGAAAGUAUGGCAGACCCCCCUCUCUCCCUCCCUCCAUACAUCCCUUCCUCUUUGAAUACUAUUCUGUUUUCUGAUUGAUUGGAUCUGUGUGUAGCUUCAUGGGCUGGAUUUGGCCCAAAGGCUGCUGAUUGGCCAUCUUUACUUUAGAAUAUCAGCUGGGAGUUGGGAAGGACUGAAGGCAGCAAAGGAGCUGAGUGACAGCGGUCACUGGUACCAUGAGGAACAGAAACCAGCCCCUUGGGGAGAUCUAUAUGCUCGAGGGGAGAGUCACAGAGAAACGUGCUCCUUGCCCUUUUGCCCAUGGAUAAAGCAAUAACUAAUGACAUGUCAGAACCAGCCCUCUGCGUCAUGUUUCCUUCCUCUUCUUUUCUCUUCCUGUUGGUGAGAAGCUCAGGAUGCAAACUGAGCCCAUUGCACUUAGUGGUUCCAGUGCAGUUGUCUAAAAAGGCUGGGUAACCGCUGGAAACCUUCUGCUGAUUGCUCUGUGGCACCUCAGAGCACCAGUAUAGCCCCCAGGAUGACAAUUUCAGUUGCGCAAUUAAAAGCUGGCAUGUGGUUCAUGUGGACGCUCGUUCUCCGUGCCUACCAUAAUGAAUGCGGAAGCCUUAUUGUGAAUGUCAGCGGAGCAAAUCAUUGAAAUGCUGCGUUUUGUGUGUGCGUUCUUGUCUAUUUAUUUGAAGAAGCAUAGAAGAGUUCCAAUUAUUUAUUGCUAGCAAAAUGUCCAUCAUGUUGGUGGACGGAGUGUAUGUGUGCCAAGGGAGUGCUUGUAAAUUGCGAGGACCCAGUGCACUUCUCAGGCAGCAUCCCUGUUAGUGAGGGCCAAGGAGGCUUUGCUUUCCCUGAAACAUUGUCCCCAAAGGGCUAAGUUUACAUUUCAUAUACAUUUGCUUAUAUGGAGAAAGCUGCAAAUGAUGCAUUUGAGGAGGCUAAGCUUUUGUCCUAUCUCUGAUGACAUGGUGACCCCUGCCAUUAAGAAUCGAGCCUCUCCUACAUAGCCCCAUCUUCAAGUUCUAUUUCUUGGUCACACUAGGGUGGGACUAAAUAGUGGGAAGUGGCGUAGGUAGGUAGGUAGAUAGGUAGGUAGGUAGAUAGAUAGAUACUGCAUUUAUUUGCAAAACAAACUGUAAUUGCUCUGAUCUAGCAUGUGCAUAGUGCUGAUAGAGAGAUGCCUGCCCAGACAAGGUGUAUGUCCAUCCCCAUAUGAGACUAUUAGUCAUGUGCUAGACCUGAGUUGCGGCAAGUGGACAUAAAAUAGCAUACGUGUGUGUGUGUGUGUGCACAGGGAGGUGGGGAUUUCUACUUCUUAUUUGGUAGUUCCAGGUAUUGUAAGGACUACAAGUUGGCACGCUGGACACGUGUGAGGCUCUUAUAUUUAAGAUCAUGCCAACCUUCUCCAUUGUUUUAUCGGGGUCCAUUGUAGACAAGACCUUAUAUAAAUGCAUUUUAUCGGUCUGUGGAAUUGUACUGGCAAAGCUGUCUCUGUGGUAUCUCACUUCGCCAUUGACACCUGUGGCAAAACAUAGAUAUAUCUAUAUCAGCCAGACUGGUAUGUUUCGUGGGCCAUGUUUUGGCCCCGUGGAGAUAGUGUUACUUGGAUGGGUGGGUGUUGGUAGUUGUACAUGGUUUGACAGAAUUCAGGCAUGCAAUGAUAGAGUGCAAGUGUUAAGACCGGAGGGGUGCCGUUCCAUCUAAAUCUCUUGAUGCACAAGGGAUUUCUGUUGCUAGAAGUGCCAGCAACAGUUUUCUGCAGCACAGCCUGCCCUGCAGCUUCCUUGCCUGCUGCACAGUCACCUCUCUUUCUUCUUCCCAUCCCUUUUGGCCUCAGAUUUUCACCACCAGUCCUGUUCUUUCUGCAACAAUACCACAUUCCACACCAAAACGCUGCACAGUCACAUCUACAACAUGUUAACUUGUGUGGUUGCCUUGCAUAAUAUGUUUAUAUUCAGGUGCGUGUGUUUAAAAUUGAGAAUCCACAUAGUCCUCAGUGUGGUAUAAACCUGCAUUCUCUCAAGAGGAAAUAGGAUUGACCGCCAGUGCUUCAGAACAGCUGACCAGCAGCAGAGGCUGGCCCAUAGGGCCAGUGGGACAUUGCCCCACCAACUUCAGUCUGCCCUCAGCCAGCCCCCACCUGCCUACCUUCUUAUUUACAUCCAGUCCAGGGGCUGCUACUGCGUGUCAUCUUCCUUCUCCUUAGUUUCAAAGUUGCCCUUUGGAGAGCUCAGCAGGGAGAAGGAUGGACACAAGACUAGAAUUAGUUGGCUCUGGCUCCAGCUACUGUUGCCGUCUUUGCCUUCUGCCCUACCAGUCCCAAUGGGCACCGGCCACCGCUGUUGACCAGGUUAUGAUGAGAUGCCCAAAACAAACUUAUAAAGUGCCAUGUUUCUGCAAGCAAGUUAGAAUUGUCUCAAGGCAACCAUUCAAGAUAGCCAUUUGUGUAAACGAAUUUUCUAAAGUUAACUUAGGUACAUGUGGGCAGGUGGGCUUAUAAAACUUAGGGUGCUAAUAGCUUUUGUAGGCUAAUUUGCAAAGCUGGCCCAAAUGCAUCUUCAGCCAGUGGGUUUUUGCAUGUCAGGUUGCUCCACACAAAUUGAAAUGGUUGGACCUUAUUCCAAAAACUGGUUGCUCUCUAGCGCAUUCACAUGCUCGGAGCUUCUUAAAUCAGUGUUUCCAUUUGCCUCUGAGGAAUCUGUCAGAAAACUAAAUUCUACUAAGCUGAGAUCUUGGGGGUGUUUCUGUUUUAUUCAUUUGGAUUAUCUUUGCUUUAGAAAAAAAGAACACUCUUUGUUCAUUAAAAAGGCACUUUGCAGCCUAGCCAUUGCUCAAGGAAUUGUUUGUACUCCCCAUUCUUUAAUUGUGGAUAUGAAAUUCCUAAGCUCAGGAAGCUUCUGGAGGACAGUUUGUAUGGCAUACAUGUUUGCUUUUAGCAUCCUACAGCUGUAUCUUGCAACUUCUUCAGUGGGCACCUUCCUUGAACCAAAUUUGUGAUCCGUUCCCAGGGGAUACUCCAAAUGGUGGAUUAAAUCAACUUAAUUUUUCAGCUUCACAACACAUCCUAAGCACCAUAAUGCAUUCACAUUCCUCAGCAGACCGACAUGUCUAGAAAUCAUUGCUUAGUUUAAAUUGCUCUUUCAAACUGUCAUGACUGCUUUAACUGGUACAUGGCAGACCAAAACUUUAUGAGUCUAUUUUUCUUUAUCAGGCACUGUGCUGGAGUUUACCAGACUGGCAGAGAUUAGGAUCUCUAUGUGCAUAUUUUUAGGCAAACCUCUCUCUCUGAGCCACAGCUCCCCAUCUGCAUUAGGUAGAUGAAUGCUGAACUUCCUUAUAGGGUUGUUGUGAGGGUUGCUGGGCUAAUGUAUAUUAAAUGCUGUGAACACUCUGGAAAUAGUCAAGUGUUACAAAUGAUUAUAUCCACAUUUCUGUAUUUCCUUUUGAAUUUGGAUUUAGAUGGGCAGAAUGAAAAUAUGCAGAUGGGAGGAGCACAGAGGAGUAAUACCCCAUUUGAGCUAUUGCCAAGCAAAAUAGGCAAGAUUGUGAGCACAAACAAUCCUUUGCUACAAGAUUGGAUUGGGUUGGGCCUUCUACUCCCGAUGAAAAGGCCUGUAAAAUUAUUUUGGGCAACUGGCCAGUAUGUCCUCAAAAUAAAAAAUGUAUAUUCCUUCUAGAGGCAUAUCAUAGAACUUAGAUCAUACUGCAUGUGAAUUUCACCUUAAGAACCUGAAUAGACUGAUGAGCACAGAGCUUAAAUUUCACCUUGUUCUUGUCAUUUGUACCAUGCCUUUUCAGUGACUAUGUUACAUGACAGGUAGCUGUUGUUAGGGAAUACAAUAUGCCUCCUAUUGAAUAGGAGAUGGUUAUCGUUUCUGGAUGGCUCUUGUCUCUGAACGCUUUGUUUUAAUUGUUUGUCCUACCUGCCUCCCCCAUUUAAACAGCUGUGAAUGGAUAUUAACUCCAGCAAGCAGCUGUAAAGGUAGUUUUAGGAAGAAAGCAGCCACGUGCUUUAGGAACGGAAAAAGCUGCAUAUAAGGGUAUUUCCAGAAAUGUUCCCUUGAGCCCAAGCCUUUUCUGACUUUGUGUUCACAGUAGAGAUGAUACUGAAACCCAAGAUCCAGAAGCGGAGUCUUAGAGCCACUCUUGUAGAUUUUGGACUAGACUCCUAAGAAGUUCAUCUACAUUCAUGAAAUGGUCCAAAAAGACCCUGCCCCACCUACAAGUACCUUCUAGGAUGAGGAUCAGUGGUGGUGCUCUCCAAAUGUCGUGGACUACAGUUCUCAUUAUCCCUGUACAUUGGCCAUGCUGGCUGGGGUUGAUAAGAGUUAUAGUACAUGACAUCUAGAGGGUACCACAUUGGCUGCCCCUAUUCUAGGUCCAGCCUAGGGAGAAGCCUGGCACAUGGUUACCUACAGCUCAGUGAGAGACCAUGUUGUGUGUGCAGAAGGACUCGGGUUCAGUCCCAGUAUCUCCGGUUAAAAAGAUCUCCAGCUGCAGGGCUGAGGAAAACCUCUGCUUGAGAUCUGAGGAACCCACUGACAAACAGCAUAGACAGUACUGGGGUAGUUGGACCAUGGUCUGAUUCAAACAUUGAUGGACUUUCAGAAAAGUAAUCCAAUAGGCCCAGAUUAAUCCUUGACCUCUCAAAAACGGUGGUUGCUCAUUCCUAAUUAGUAUAGGUCAGGGGUACCUAUUCCGGAUGUUGUGGGACUACAGCUGCCAUCAGUCCCCAGCCAGCAUGGGCAGUAGUCAAAGAUGAUAGGAACUAUAGUCCAGGAACAUCUGGAGGGACACAGGUUAGUCACCUCUCCUCUACAAAAAGCCUCAUCCCAGGGUGUAUGAUGGAUAACAUUCUUCAGGUAUAUAUGUACAUAAUCAUCAGCACCUUUGUGACUUGGCCAAAUAUUGGGAUUAAUAUAUAUUGUUAUUGUAGAGGUGGUGGUGAAAAUCCAUUGCUUCAUAAUUAAAGAAGAAAAAUGGCUCUUUGUUGUUUUCAGAUAAGGUGAUAUGAAAUAGGUAAAAUGAUAUCUGCUAUUGGAUCUAGACGACCCAUUCUCUAUAAACAUUGUGAUUCAUGUUUAAAGUUUUUCUGUGAUUAGAAUAUCUGUCUAACUGAAGUAGCUAAAGUGAUUGCAACCACCUUUGCUCAAUAUACAGCUGCAGUUAGCUUUCCUUUCUCCUUUAUGCAGAGUUCUGUGCAAUCCAGAAGUGUACAUAUUCUUGCAGCAUUACAGGUACUACAAAGGCAAUUUCAUAUUUAAUGAAGGCACUUACGGAGAUACUCUUCCACAUGGAGGAUGGACUCACUUAUGUGGAUAUUGUUUUUAUAUCAUUGAAAUAGUAUUUUUGAGAUUAAGUUUACAUUUGCUUUUGUUUUUCUGUAUAUAAAUACACUUCUGUCUGUUUUACCAUUGCUGGAGUCGCCCUUCUAUGGUAUGCAGACCCUAAUUUGCCUGAUGUUACAAAGCUGUGAGACACCGUAGUCUUCCCCCUCUCCUUUCUUGUGUUCAUGACUAUGACAACUAUGUUUUUUAAAAAACAAGUUUGAAUAACGUUGCUUUGGCACAACAAAGCAAAAAGCCUUCUAGAUGGAUUUUUAUGUUUAUGAAAAUGAACAAGUUGGUGAAGGAUUUCACUUAUGUAUAUGAUAUAUGUAUAUGUAAAAACAAAAAAAUUAGAAAAGAAAUAAACCAAAUGUAUUUCA